GAAGGCAUAGCUCAGAGGUCAGAGUGCGUGCUUAGCAUGCAUGGGGGUCUGGGUUUAAUCCCCAGUACCUCUG
rnacentral:tRNA from 1 species